UUUAAACAAUUAUCUAAAUAAAAAAAUUCAUGUUAUAUCCAUGAUAGCAAAAUUGCCAGGAAAACUGGUUAUCACUACAGAUUUAUGGACAUCUGUUCAAAAACUUCCAUAUAUCUGUAAGUGGGCACUAUAUAGAUAAAUCAUGGAAAAUGAAAGAAAUCAUAUUGGAUAUUAAUUAUGUGCCUUAUCCACACAAAGCUGAAAAAAUAUAUAAAUGUCUUUCAGAUUUAAUUAUUGAAUAUAAUUUAAAGGAAAAAAUUAUCAGUUUAACAACUGAUAAUGCUGCAAAUAUGGUAAAAACUCAGAGACUCAUGAAGACUUACAUGAGUCCAAACCCAUUUGCAGCAUAUGGCUGUAUGGCACACGUAUUAAACAUAAUUUACCAAAAUAUUCUAAAAAACAUUGAUGAAGUUAUCAUUAAAGUGAGAUUGAUUACUACAAAUAUAUCUCAAAGUCCAUCAUUGCUUCAAAAAUAUAUGUCAUUACUUAGAGGUAUAGGACAGAAAAUUCCCACUGAUGUUGAAACUUGCUGGAAUUCAACAUAUUUGAUGUUGGUGAAGGUCCUUACAAAUUUUGAGACAAUAAGAACUUUGUGUUAUUCAGAGUAUGAAACCCUUGGCAGCAUUGCCCUCACAAAUAAUGAUAAAAAUAAAAUAGAGGAAGUAAUUCCUUUAUUAAAACCAUUUUAUGAAACCACCUUGGAUUUAUCUGGAUCCUCCUAUCCUACCAUUGGCAUAUGUCUUAUGCUAAUGGAAAAUAUACAAAUACAUAUUGCAAAUAUUUUUAAUUCUGAUUCCUCGCCCUCAUUUAUUGAUGCAACUUUUGCAACGAAAGUCACUCAGAAAGCUAAUCACUACAUUCACAAAUUUUUA